CUCUGCACUGAUGUUGCUGCUCGUGGACUUGAUAUUCCUGCUGUGGAUUGGAUUGGCCAAUAUGAUCCUCCUGAUGAACCAAAGGCAAGAGAAUUGGAGAAUUAAUUAAAUGGUGAGAGGACAACCAAGAAGGAUGUUGCAAAGUUCCCAAAGCCUCCAGUGGCUCCUUUAAGAUGGAAGCCUCCUUUACAAAGAAUCACCAAUCAG